rnacentral:tRNA from 1 species
GGCGCAUUCGUCUAGUGGCCCAGGACGCCGCCCUCUCAAGGCGGAGAUCACGGGUUCGAGUCCCGUAUGCGCCACCA